CUGGUUAUCACUUUCUCUUAGGGGUCUGUGGGCAGUACGAAAACUUCUUUAAGGUCCUUAAAGCUGGAUGACUUUGUCCAAGCGAAAGCCAAGGUGAGCCCGUCCGUUGCUUUCGACGCCACUAGCAUGAACGAGCUAAGAAAAUGGAACGAACAGUACGGCGAAGGCGGCAGCAGGAGCAAGUCGCCGUUCGGGUUCGGCACCUAACAUGAUUCCGCUUCGAUGCCGGCCCUUUUGCUUGUAGCGGCCAUUCUGCUCCUUCCUCCGGUUUUUGGUACUCACCUAGAGCCUCUUCGAGCGGUGCUAUGGUGGCCCUGUAUCGAUAGGCACACGCCUGACGAACACCGAAGUUUCCUGAGCCACAGCAACUGGGUCGCCCGUUUCUAAUGUUGUACUGUUGCCGUGUCCCAGCGGAGGCCUGACCAAAUUGUACAUAGGUACAACAAUUUUGUACCAAGAACAGCCGACAGUGUACCGUCUCUGAAAUAAAUCACAUGUUCAUGAUUUGAUUUGAUGAUGGUCUUCUGC